rnacentral:tmRNA from 1 species
GGGGGCGUAACGGCUUCGACGGAGAUAGAGAACUGCUGGUUGCAUGCCGAGGUCCUGUCCGCUCGUAAAACGGGUAGGAAACACACAAUUGCCGACAACUACGGCUACGCUCUAGCCGCUUAAGGCUAGCAUCUGGGGAUCUUACGCCGGGAGAAGACCCCAGGUGAACGUUGGACGAAAAUUGAAGGUGGGCUAGCCUCUAAGGAUUCUGCCGGUGGAAGCCUUCUUGGGGCGAAACUAAAACAGCGGCUAUGCAUGUAGAAGCUUCCAGGGACUAUUGGCGGACGCGGGUUCGACUCCCGCCGCCUCCACCA